ensembl:lncRNA
GUGGCUCAGCUGGUAAAGAAUCUGCCUGCAAUACGGGAGACCUGGGUUUGAUCCCUGGGUUGGGAAAAGGAAAAGGCUACUCACUCCAGUAUUCAGGCCUGGAGAAUUCCAUGGACUGUCCGAACAAAGAGUUGGACACAACUGAGCGACUUUCACUUUUCACUUUCAAUGCAAAGAGGGGAGGUCUAGCCAGAGUCCAGGCGGGCUUUAUUUUUUUAAAUUGUGGUAAAAGUCAUGCUUUGCCUACAAAGGUCCAUCUAGUCAAAGCUAUGGUUUCGCCAGUAGUCAUGUAUGGAUGUGAGAGUUGGAUUCUAAAGAAAGCUGAGCGCCAAAGAAUUGAUGCUUUUAAACUGUGGAUUUGGAGAAGACUCUUGAGAGUCCCUUGGACAGCAAGGAGAUCCAAACAGUCCAUCCUAAAGGAAAUCAGUCUUGAAUAUUCAUUGGAAGGACUGAUGCUGAAGCUGAAACUCCCAUACUUUGGCCAUCUGAUAGAAAAGAUCCUGAUGCUGGGAAAGAUUGAAGGUGGGAGGAGAAGAGGACUAUAGAGGAUGAGAUGGUUGGAUGGCAUCACUAACUCGAUGGACAUGAGUUUGAACAAGCUCUGGGAGUUGGUGAAGGAUAGGGAAGCCUGGUGUGCUGCCAUCCAUGGGGCUGCAGAGUCGGACACGACAGAGUGACUGAACUGAACUGAAAAGUCACUUAAUGUGAAACAUACUAUUAUAACCAUAUUUAACUGUACAGUUCAGUGGCACUGAGUACAUUCACAUUAUUGUGCAGCUCUCACCAUUAUCCAUCUCCCGAAUUUUUCACCUUCCCAAACUGAAACUCUGUCUCUGUUUUGAUUCUUUGGAAGAAAUUCAAAUGGAAAAGCAUACAGUGAAUAAAAAUUAGAGUUUUGCAAAUAAGAAAACCCAGAAAUCUGCCAAGAGAUGCACAAAACAAUACUUGCCUGUUGGGCUUCCCACGGUCCAGGGUCUGACCUUGCAGGCAACUGCAUGUGAUCAUAUCAGUUGGUUGUAUCUAGGACGUUAACUGAUCCUACUGAAAUUCCACAAGAGAUUAAAAAGUAUACAGGAGAAUGGCAAUUUAUUAUUUUACAGGGGAAAUGUAACUAUAAAGGGACUAGAUACUUGAUCCUUUUUGGCAGCAUAUUCUCUUCUUUAUGACAACUUCCAAUUUUUCCUCA